UUUUUGUGUGUCUGUUUGUAGGUGUUUGUUUUGUCCACUCAUCCGUAUGGCUGCAGGGUGAUCCAGCGUAUAUUGGAGCACUGUACCCAGGAGCAGACCCUGCCCAUCCUGGAAGAACUCCACCAGCACUCUGAGCAGCUGGGACAGAAGUAUCAAGGCGUUUCAUUGGAGAUGACCCCCAAAACAUAUUAUACAGUGUCCAGCGAUGCACUGUUCAAGGAUCAGUAUGGUAACUACGUCAUCCAGCAUGUUUUAGAGCAUGGACGUCCAGAAGACAAGAGCAAGAUAGUGGCGGAGGUCAGAGGGAAGGUUCUGGCUCUGAGUCAGCAUAAAUUUGCAAGGUCUGUUAAUCUAAGAAAAUUAUAUUCUAUAGAUGAAACAUUAUGAUUUCAUAUCAUGAUUAUAGUGACCAAAAACAUUUUAAAAUGCUUCAACGUGGCUUAAUGUACUAAGACCAAAUUUGAAGGACCAAAUUCAAUUUGCACCUUAUUAAUAAAGCAUACUAUGUACAGAAAAGCAGUAGAGCCCAGAAUUUGCAUGGAAUGCGCAAAGAUUCACAUUGAGCAUCUUUUUGUUAUACCACUGUCUUUGUCCAUUUAGCCACAUUAAGCGUUUUAAUUAUAACGAUUUUGCCCAUAUAUGGCUAUUAUACAUCUUAUUGAUGUUGCAGAGUGUGGUCUUUUAUUAUCACCAUCUUACUGCGUAAAGUCACAUUAAGCCCAAAUUUUCUUUAUGGAGGUUUAUAUUUGGGAGAAAAUCCUUCAUUUUCGUCUUUCAACUUGGAAUAUUUUAUUCUGUGUGUUAUAAUGAAGGCUUUGUGAAACUGAUCAACUUUCCCAGUUCAUUUAGAUUUGACAGGGUUCCCACGCUUCUUGAAAGUACUUGAAUAUCAGACACAUGGAUUCAAUGCCUGGAAAGUACUUGAAAACAAAUAAGUCAUUGAAAGUGCAACUGACCCGAUCAGCAUAUUUGUGUUUGCACUCAGGGGAGCUUCAAAGGUUUCUAACUUCCAACGUGUUUUUGCAGCGUUAUGUAUCACAGACAUACAGUUGCAAUCAAAAUUAUUAAAACCCCUUGACCUGCAAGACAUUUUGCUGUGGAGAUAAUUUUAUGAAAUCAAUUCAACAAAGGCAUCAGUAAAGUAUUAGAGAGAGUUUGUUAAUACACUUUUGAUUGAUUCUGAGAAUGGAACUUGGAUGAAUCAUGACAAAAUUCGAAUUGGCUCUAAACAUUCAUGUUCAAAAUUAUUCAACCCCCUUUGUGCAGAAUCUUUUUUCUUUAAAAUCACAAAUAAAUGCUGUCUGUAAAUGUUUAGAAGCUUCUGUCACCUCUCUACUACAGUCUUGGCCCAUUCCUCGGCUGAAAAAGCUUCCUGAUCACUGAUAAUCUUUGGUUUUCACAUUGCCACUGCUAUCUUCAGAUUCAACCAGAUAUUUGCAGUGAGAAUUAAGCCUGGAGACUGAACAGGUCACUCAAGUACAUUCUAUGACUGAUCCCUGAACCAAGCAGUAGUACAUUUGGAUGUGUACUUUGGGAUGACUGUCCUGUAGGAAAGUCCAGCUGAUCAUCAGCUUCAGUCUUUGCACCAAAGGCAUCACAAUUCUUGUCAAAAUGGCCUGAUACUUCAAAGAAUCCAUGAUGUCCUUCAUACAGUCAUGAUUUCCACUUCCUUCUACAGUAAAGAAACCCCAUAACCGGACUGAUCCACCUCCAAUGUUGAGGAUGGAGAUGGUGCUCUUCUUAUGAGCUCAACCUUUUUUGCAGCAGACAUACCGCUGAUCCGUGGGUCCAAAAAUUCCAGUUUGGUCUCAUUACACAAUAAAAGAUUAUUGCAGAGCUCCACAUGUCUACACAAAUGAAUUUUAUCAAGUUCAAGUUGGCCUUUUGUUCUUCUUGAUCAAGAGUGGUAUUCUGCAAGAUGUCUCAACAUGAAGGUCAUACUUGUCUAGUGUUCUUCUUACACACGGCAUUGAAAUGGUUUUCUUCCUUUCAUCGGGUCAUCUUGCAAGUCUUUGGCUGUACCUUGCAGGUUUUUCUCUGUUGCUCUGAUUAAACAUUUUAUGAUAUUGUGCUUUUUCUUCAACACCCUCAAAGGUUUUCUGGUAAACCACUUUAAGCUAAGGAAUAAGGCUGAGAGCUGUGUCUCUAGAAACUUUCAAUGUCUUGGAAAUCUUCAUACAGCCUUAGCCUUUUUAAAGUAAUACAAUAUUUAUUCUCUUUAGCUUUUUUGAGAUCUCGGUUGACAAUUUUUGCUACUAAACUUCAACACAUGCAUGGGCUAACUGUAUGUAUGUGUAACAGCUCAAGAUAAUUCUGUUUUCAAUAGUUUCUGAAGGUUUAAUUGUGUUUUGAGACUGUUUUAUUCCCCACCAUGCAAAUAAGUGAUUUAAAAACAGCAACGUUGAAUAGGGGUUGAAUAAUUGAGAGCAGUAUUAUAAAAAAAAAAAAAAAUCAUAUAACUCAAAAAUAUUAAACUUUUAAUAUGCCAGUGAACUGUUAUAGAUGCAUUUUAUUUAUUUAUUUUUAAUCCUGGAUCUUCAGAAAAGCUUGUAUUUGUAAAGUACUGCAGUCUCUGAGGGGUUGAGUAAUUUUGAUUGCAACCGUAUCUAUUGAUUCCUUGAACCCGAUGUUACCGUAUUUUUCGGACUAUACGUCGCACCUGAGUAUAAGUCGCAUCAGUCCAAAAAUACGUCAUGAUGAGGAAAAAAACAUACAAGUCGCACUGGACUAUAAGUUGCAUUUAUUUAGAACCGAGCACCAAGAGAAAACAGUACGCCCUCUCGCGGCUGU